rnacentral:tRNA from 1 species
AACUGACUUGUAAUCAGUAGGUCGAGGGUUCGACUCCUUUAGCCGGCACCA